AGUGUGAAGUAGAAGCACCCGCUUCUCACCUGAUUGACGCACAGGCAGUUGGCAGGUUUGAACGUAAUGAUAAAUAGCAUGUUUGUGCUGUUUAAUGCGGGUAUGCGAUCAUACCCGCAUUUUUUAUUGCGC
rfam:Bacillus badius strain MTCC 1458 Contig12, whole genome shotgun sequence.